GUGUUACAGGUGGUAUGGUGGGCGUGGUCCAAGCAGUAUAAAAGCGGAAGCUGCAAACUUUCUUAAAAGGUGUCAGUUUCCAUGGGACGCCAGGACGUAUCUGGGUUCCACACGUAGAUUUGUCAAGAAUGUGGGAGGCCCUGCGGGUUUUUUAGACCAGGCUGUGUAUACAGGCAGAUGAGGGUGGUGUACGCGAUACAGUUUAAGGACAGCAGGGGCAGCAGGUGUUUCUGGCUGCUUGCACAUUGCAGACAGGCAUGGAGGAGGACUCUGAGAAACACGCCAUGUCACAGCGUAUCAGAGAGCUGGAAAGUCAGCUGGCAGAGCUGCAAGCAGCUGGUGGGGAUUCUGAAACGCCAACUACCUCUACUGGAACCACUAGCGGGAGGCCUACGUUUUCAAUCCCACAAGCUCCGAUU